rnacentral:lncRNA from 1 species
AGCCUGGGUUAUCCAGGUGGACCCAAAGUAAUCACCGGAGUCUUUAAAAGCAGAGAACUUUCUCCACCUGCCAUCAGAAAGAGAUGUGUUAAAAGAGAGUAGAAGAGAUGAGGCAGAAGGUGAACCAGGGAGAUUCAAAAUGUAGGAAGGACUCGGACUAUCACUGCAGCGUUUGAUGGUGGGAGAAGGAACUUACAAGCCAAGGAAUGCGGGUAACCUUGAGAAGCUGAGAACAACCCAAUGAGGACAUGGGGAACCUCAGUCCUACACUGCAUACAACUGAAUUCUGCCAACAUCCUGAGCGAGCCUGGGAGCCGAUUCUUCCCUCAGAACCUCCUGAACAGAACAUAGCCUUGCUGACGUCUUUAUUCCGGGCUUGUGAUGCUCUAAGCAAAGUAUCCAGUCAAGUCUGCUGGACGUCUGACCUACAAACAGCACCUGGAGUCAGUCCUAGCAGCAGCCCCGCUCUGACCAUACCCGCUGAAGGCGUGCCAAGACAAUUCAAUGAGGAAAGAAGAGUCUUUUCAACAAAUGGUGCUGGGACAUCUGGAUAUCCACAAUUGGCAGCUGUCCAUUUCCAGACAUUUUCACUGCUCCUACUGUGACCUGAGAGUGUUGGAAAUCUUGCUCAUGAAAAUACCGGAGCUACAUCUUCCUUCAGGACUUCAAACGCAGUCACCACCAAUAUCUUAUUUAGAUGGGCUCCAAUUUGUGUAGGCAGCCCAAUAAAUAGUUUAUUUAUUUUGAAUCCUUCCUCUGGGAGUUUUAUUUUGCACUGCAGCCUAAUAUCUCAUUUCAAAGGGGGCAAGGAAAACAUCAGCUACUGAAAGGCACUGCAUUUUUUAUGUGCAGCUUAAAAACACUGCAUCUGGUGUGU